CAGCAGCCGCGGGAAAACAGAGGGUGCGAGCGUUAAUCGGAUUUACUGGGCGUAAAGCGUGCGUAGGCGGCUUUUUAAGUCGGAUGUGAAAUCCCUGAGCUUAACUUAGGAAUUGCAUUCGAUACUGGGAAGCUAGAGUAUGGGAGAGGAUGGUAGAAUUCCAGGUGUAGCGGUGAAAUGCGUAGAGAUCUGGAGGAAUACCGAUGGCGAAGGCAGCCAUCUGGCCUAAUACUGACGCUGAGGUACGAAAGCAUGGGGAGCAAACAGGAUUAGAGACCCCGGUAGUCCCUGUCUCUUAUAC
rnacentral:rRNA from 1 species